rnacentral:rRNA from 1 species
GACGAACGCUGGCGGCGUGCUUAACACAUGCAAGUCGAACGAAGUCGAGAACGGGUGAGUAACGCGUAUUCAACCUGCCCUUCAGAGGGGGACAACAGUUGGAAACGACUGCUAAUCCCGCAUACUGAAGGAGGGGAUUGAGUCUGGUUGGCUAGUUGGAGGGGUAACGGACCACCAAGGGGAAGAUCAGUAGCCGGGUUGAGGGGCGGAACGGCCACAUUGGGACUGAGGCACGGCCCAGACUCCUACUGGGGGCAGCAGUGGGGAAUCUUCCGCAAUGGACGAAAGUCUGACGGAGCAACGCCGGGUGAGUUAUGACGGCCUUCGGGUUGUAAAGCUCUGUUAAUCGGGGCGCGGUACCGGAAUAGAAAGCCACGGCUAACUCCGUGCCAGCCGCCGCGGUAAUUC